rnacentral:rRNA from 1 species
GGCGGCGUGCUUAACACAUGCAAGUCGAACGGAAAGGCCCUGCUUUUGUGGGGUGCUCGAGUGGCGAACGGGUGAGUAACACGUGAGUAACCUGCCCUUGACUUUGGGAUAACUUCAGGAAACUGGGGCUAAUACCGGAUAGGAGCUCCUGCUGCAUGGUGGGGGUUGGAAAGUUUCGGCGGUUGGGGAUGGACUCGCGGCUUAUCAGCUUGUUGGUGGGGUAGUGGCUUACCAAGGCUUUGACGGGUAGCCGGCCUGAGAGGGUGACCGGCCACAUUGGGACUGAGAUACGGCCCAGACUCCUACGGGAGGCAGCAGUGGGGAAUAUUGCACAAUGGGCGGAAGCCUGACGCAGCAACGCCGCGUGCGGGAUGACGGCCUUCGGGUUGUAAACCGCUUUCGCCUGUGACGAAGCGUGAGUGACGGUAAUGGGUAAAGAAGCACCGGCUAACUACGUGCCAGCAGCCGCGGUGAUACGUAGGGUGCGAGCGUUGUCCGGAUUUAUUGGGCGUAAAGGGCUCGUAGGUGGUUGAUCGCGUCGGAAGUGUAAUCUUGGGGCUUAACCCUGAGCGUGCUUUCGAUACGGGUUGACUUGAGGAAGGUAGGGGAGAAUGGAAUUCCUGGUGGAGCGGUGGAAUGCGCAGAUAUCAGGAGGAACACCAGUGGCGAAGGCGGUUCUCUGGGCCUUUCCUGACGCUGAGGAGCGAAAGCGUGGGGAGCGAACAGGCUUAGAUACCCUGGUAGUCCACGCUGUAAACGGUGGGUACUAGGUGUGGGGUCCAUUCCACGGGUUCCGUGCCGUAGCUAACGCUUUAAGUACCCCGCCUGGGGAGUACGGCCGCAAGGCUAAAACUCAAAGGAAUUGACGGGGCCCCGCACAAGCGGCGGAGCAUGCGGAUUAAUUCGAUGCAACGCGUAGAACCUUACCUGGGUUUGACAUGGAUCGGGAGUGCUCAGAGAUGGGUGUGCCUCUUUUGGGGUCGGUUCACAGGUGGUGCAUGGCUGUCGUCAGCUCGUGUCGUGAGAUGUUGGGUUAAGUCCCGCAACGAGCGCAACCCUUGUUCACUGUUGCCAGCACGUUAUGGUGGGGACUCAGUGGAGACCGCCGGGGUCAACUCGGAGGAAGGUGGGGAUGACGUCAAGUCAUCAUGCCCCUUAUGUCCAGGGCUUCACGCAUGCUACAAUGGCUGGUACAGAGAGUGGCGAGCCUGUGAGGGUGAGCGAAUCUCGGAAAGCCGGUCUCAGUUCGGAUUGGGGUCUGCAACUCGACCUCAUGAAGUCGGAGUCGCUAGUAAUCGCAGAUCAGCAACGCUGCGGUGAAUACGUUCCCGGGGCUUGUACACACCGCCCGUCAAGUCAUGAAAGUUGGUAACACCCGAAGCCGGUGGCCUAACCGUUGUGGGGGAGCCGUCGAAGGUGGGACUGGUGAUUAGGACUAAGUCAUA